rnacentral:rRNA from 1 species
UGGGGAAUUUUGGACAAUGGGCGAAAGCCUGAUCCAGCAAUGCCGCGUGUGUGAAGAAGGCCUUCGGGUUGUAAAGCACUUUUGUCCGGAAAGAAAUCCUUGGCUCUAAUACAGUCGGGGGAUGACGGUACCGGAAGAAUAAGCACCGGCUAACUACGUGCCAGCAGCCGCGGUAAUACGUAGGGUGCAAGCGUUAAUCGGAAUUACUGGGCGUAAAGCGUGCGCAGGCGGUUUGCUAAGACCGAUGUGAAAUCCCCGGGCUCAACCUGGGAACUGCAUUGGUGACUGGCAGGCUAGAGUAUGGCAGAGGGGGGUAGAAUUCCACGUGUAGCAGUGAAAUGCGUAGAGAUGUGGAGGAAUACCGAUGGCGAAGGCAGCCCCCUGGGGCCAAAUACUGACGCUCAUGCACGAAAGCGUGGGGAGCAAACAGGAUUAGAUACCCCGGGUAAGUCCCANGCCCCUAAACGAUGUCAACUAGUUGUUGGGGAUUCAUUUCCUUAGUAACGUAGCUAACGCGUGAAGUUGACCGCCU